UUAAAUGGCCGCAGUAUUUUGACUGUGCAAAGGUAGCAUAAUCAUUAGUUUCUUAAUUAGAAGCUGGAAUGAAGGGUUGAACGAAAAAAUAACUGUCUCUUUAUAAAUUUAUUAGAAUUUUAUUUUUAAGUUAAAAAGCUUAAAUAUAUUUAAAAGACGAGAAGACCCUAUAGAGUUUUAUAUAAUUUUUUUUAGUAAUUUUAUUUUUAAUUAUGAAAAUUUUAUAAUUAAUUAUAUUUGGUUGGGGUGAUUAAAAAAUUUAAUUAACUUUUUAAAAAAUAAAACAUUUUUAUAUGAUUAAUUGAUCCAUUAUUUAUGAUUAUAAGAUUAAAUUACCUUAGGGAUAACAGCGUAAUUUCUUUUUAGAGUUCAAAUCGAUAAAGAAGUUUGCGACCUCGAUGUUGGAUUAAAAUAUAGUUUUGGUGUAGAAGCUAAAAUAUUAGGUCUGUUCGACCUUUAAAAUUUUACAUGAUCUGAGUUUAAACCGGUGUAAGCCAGGUUGGUUUCUAUCUUUAAAUAAUUAUAAUAUUUUAGUACGAAAGGACCAAAUAUUUAAAAUAUUUUUUAAAUAUUGGAUAAUAAUAAUUU
rnacentral:rRNA from 1 species